CUCAACAAACCCCUUGUGCACACUUCACCUACUUAACAAUGACAAGGUGGUCACUGGGAAGGUCUCACAAGGUAAGAGCAGAAGCCCACACAAUGGCUUGACAAGCCACACCCCCAGCACACUUGGCAGAGAAGCCGUGGCAGAGCUCAGGGAGUAAGGGAAGAGCUGAGCGGAUUCUCCCUGCAGGCUCCCUCUACACUGACACUCUUCCUACGGACUACUUCAGGUUCCCUUCUGCCUCACACUCCUCCUCCUCUACCCCUCCCCCUGCUCACAACACCCCCUCCCACCUCUGCAUAAGCUCCAGGGUAGGGCAGCAGACUGCUGUCCCCUUGAGAACACUGCCUGAAAGACGCCAUGACUGCCACUCCUCUACUAGCAAUGAUGAGAACUGCGGAAGCAAUGUUACUGCAGCACUGUAAGAACAGCAGAGGGCCUGAGGAGUCCAGACCUGCAGCAGCAGCAACAGCAAACCGUGACGGGACUGUACUGUAACUGGCACUCAGGAGCUGGAGGGAGGAGGACCAGGAGUUCAAGGGGCACCGGCCGCUACAUACUGAGUUUUACUGCAGCCUGUCACGCGGACUACACUAGGUGCUGACGGGGAUGCCUUGCAAGCAGCAACUCAUACCAUUGCACUGGCUCAAUGACAGCUCACGGAGUGAACGCCAUUAAUACGACGUUUCUGACAAGGUAACUGUAGAAGCUGCCUCGUAAACAUUGAGAAGUCAAAAUAUGGAUGUGCUUUUUACUGCUGUGGUUGUUUUAAUGGGAAAGUCACAGAAUCAAUAAACAUUAAAGAGUGGAUGCAAUCUUUACCUAAGCUCCCUUUGAGAACACAGGGAUGAAAGGUCCUUCCUAGGAUCAGAGCUUAAAGAACUUCCGAGUCUUUCAGGGAAAGCCUGGAGUAGAGUGAUAGUGACUGAAACCUUAGAAACUGUUGCCCAGAAUAUCAGACAAUCCAGAGGCAAUGCUGAGAGGCUACUGUUACUAAAAAUAAAUCAACUUUCUAAGCAAGAAAUACAACUCAGUACUAAACAGUUUACAUCAUAAACCCCUGUUGUGGGUACAAAGAGAAAUGGAGAACACAGCUCAGGUAAGAUCCUCACUGGACACAAUGGGAGCAGAAGAUACUUUUCCUUCCAUCUUUUAUGAGCUCCGAACGCAGCUAGAGGGUGCUGGGGAGAGGAGGCUUUCUCUUCAGUGCUGAGCCAUCUUACGUAAACUCUUGGGUCACUGACAAAGGUGGACCGGCCAGUGAGGGGGAUUAAGGGGUACAGGCAGGUGUGGAGAAAGGGUGAAGGGAGUAUACACAAUCAAAACACACUACGAACAUGUGGAACAUGAUUAGUCAGUAAUAUCUUCCACCUGGAGCCUUGAGACAAUACCCUCCAUCAGUCUUUUAGCUCAGCCUGACAAGGCGCUCGCUCGCUCGCUCGCUCUCACUGCCUCCCGCCCCUGGCCCCCUUCCAGUUUGGUCUCUGUGCUAGCAGUACAAGCAGAGCCACCAUGAGUCUUUCUGCCACGAAAACACACAAUCUUUUCAAAGUCUGUGCGUGUGAAACAUACGGGGUGCGGGGCACAGUAUAAAUGUGAAAGUUGACUGCAUGGGUCCUGGGGAUGACCUCAGGCCAUGAGUCUUGACAGGAAGUGUCUUCACAGUGGGCCACCUCACCAGUCCCAAAACAUCUAAUUAUAAUAGAGCACAAAAUUGGUAAAAUAUGUUUAGUUAAAAAAAAAAAGGUCAGGUGUAACAGCACACCUACAAUCCCAGCAGCACUCGGGUGAAGGCAAACGAAUCCAGAGUUUAAAGGUCAUCCUUGGCUACAUGGGAAGCUUGAGGCUGGCCUUAGAAUGUGAGAACCUAUGUCAACCAAAAGACAGAUUUCACGAAGUAUAUUUUGGUCAGGUAUGAGAUAGAUUCUUUCCGCAUGGCCCGAGCUGGCCUGACACCUGAACGCUGGUAUUAUAGGCACCUGCUGCCACACUGGCUGUUGGAGUAGUUUUAAUAAGCUCCUCACCGAUCAGAAGCCAUUUAUCCUGAACGAAAUUAGGAGAAAACAAAUGCAUCAGGCAAGAGUAGCUGGUCAUUUGUAACUAUGGCUAAAGAGUUCAGUAAAACCCAAGUUCAAUCAAAAUGGUCAGCCUGCAGCCUAAAGAGAGCAAAGCAGACUCAACGCAGGCAAUGAGGGAUGGGCUAGGAAAAAUCCAAAGACCACAACUGUGCUGAGCGAACUUCCUCCACUGAGCCACUCAGCCAGCACCUCCUGUGGUUAAGACUGAUGUGAGCCUUCGCAUAUAAUACCCCGCUGGCGUGACGUCAGAUGCCAUGGCAGCUCAGUGGAACCCAAGGAAACCCGCUGUAAACUUACAGAUUAUGCUUCAGAAUUCCAAGAUGAGAAAAUGAACUUCAGGAGCCAUUCCCAAUCUUUUGUUUCCUGGCUCUAGACCAGACUGGUUUUCCCAGGGAUAAGAGAGUAUCGGUACCAACCAAUGAGUGACAUCACCUAUGGAGUGAGGAGGCUCUCUUUCCUGGAAACUAUUAGCUGAGGAUAGCCCAAGGACAGCCGCUUUCCAGGCAGGAGGAGUGCUGCCUUUCUUUUCUUGGGAUCAGGUCCUUGUAACCCACCCUGACUCUCCCACAGUGCUCUUCAGCAGAAGGCAAAGAAGAUGAAUGAGUGGACAAGCCUUGGCCUUUAAAUCAUCCUGUCUGAAGAGCGAGGUUAACCCUUCUUGAUUCAGUCUCAUAAUAAAGUUUAAGGGAAACAUUCACUUAGCUCAAAGCAAGGAAAAUGUGUUUAAGACAGAGCUCCACGCUGGCCGUAAAGACCUCCCUCUGAAGGAGGCUGCCUUUAACCAGCAUGACAGAGGAGUAUUUAGACAGAGGAGGGAAACAGUCCCUGUGACGUAGAAAACGGUGCCCACCCCUGCCUGCAAUGAUCUCUUCAUAUAGGCAGCCAGAACACUGCCUUCUCCCCUCAGGAACAGUGCUGAGGGCUGGGCUCAGAGCCCGGGUGUGAGUGUGUGUGUGUGUGUGUGUGUGUGUGUGUGUGUGUCUGUCUCAGGCUCAGUUUCACCACCAGCAGAUAAACAGGGAAGGACGAUUCAAUCCAACCCAGCCCUCUCAGCCUGUUUCGUUCAUUCUUACUAUUGACCCCAAACGCUGGAAGGUUUGCGUCAGACAAUUUACACCUUAGUAUUCCCUGGCUCCCUGAGAUACACCCACCUAGUCAUCUGAUCCUGUAUGCAAUAUGAACAUGAAGUACUCGAGGCCUGCUCUAAUUGUGAAGUGAGGCAUCCCUCAACUAUUCUGCGUAUAUUUCUUGGCCCAGAGCGGCCUGACUCACUGUGAUCUUUGUCUUUAUUAUUGGAGUCUUUAAAGGCAGGGACCGACGUGUAGUUUAUACUGUCCUCAAACUCAUGAUCUUCCUUCCCACCUCAGCCUCCAGGUAACAGGGAGGCGCCACCAUACCAGGCUCCAUUAGCUCUUAAAGGGCCUUGUGUCUGGACACGUCUAAGGAUGGGACCAGUUCGUAGCUUGGCAUGUUCUGUCUGCCAGAACCUUUCUGUGGUUACAGUACUAUAUAGACUGAACCUCUUUCCCUAGGACAGAUCAAAAACUAACAAGUGCUCCUGGGCUCUCAGACUAUCCCUCUAUCCCUUUCUCCAUGGAGGCAGAACCCAAACAGGGUCCCUUUUGAAAACUGUUAUCUGCACUCCAAAUAAAUCGAGAAACGCGCUCAUCCUGUAAAUCCCGUUAAAGAGGUUAACCAUAACUAAUGAAAGCUAAAUUCUAAUCUAGUUAAGCAAUGAAUCAGAUGUGCAAGGGAGGACUGUAAUUACAACUGGCCUGGGCGUGGAAUAAGGUUUUAAAGGAAAUUCAGAAGACGGAACAUCAGACCCUCAGUGGGUUCCAGGCCAGGAUCCUCGUCAGAAUUCACAUUUAUUACAAGGAAGCAGUGGUAGAUGAAGAAGCUGAGGUCCCAAGAGGCUUUACAGUUGGCCCACGCAUAAUCAGAACUCAAUUACAAGGUUCUCAGAUCCCAACAUCAAGGUGAGGACAUCCGAGCCUCAGGGCAGGGUGUCUUCAAGGGGCAGAGCUCAGCAGCACCAACGCCCUGGAUUCUGAUAUCAUAUCCCCUUGAAAAUUAGCAACAAAGCCAUACAUCCCCCAAAGACUUGGCAGAGGGGGUGCAGGUACAGCUGGAGACAAGGAGCCGUUGCCAACCGCUUACCCACCAGAGACAGCAUCUGCCGAAAAGUCUGGAGGAGUGGGCUGGGCCCCCCAACCCAGGUCUCUGUACCCCAGUGCUAGGGUUGCAGGGAAGCCAUGGAUCUGCUCGGUUGUCCUUACUUUUUACAUGCGCUCUAGCGCUCGCAACUCAGGUCCUCGUGCUCCUGCCAUGAACAGCUUUGCUGACUGACCCAGCUACCCGGCUAUGAGAGAUUCCGAAAACCUGAGAGAUUUGUGGCUCACUUGGCAGUUGUCACUGUAACCAUAUUCAUAGUGAUUUCCCCUCAGGAAUGAGAGCAUUUUCCCUCUUUGUUCAAAAUCAACAAGUAUCUAAUUCCCAAAGUUAAAACUCCAGCCCUAAGCACUAUCUUUUUAAUGACCUCACCAUCACAAUCCUUUCUAAAGCAAAACCUGGGUCAGCACAAUGGCUCAGCAGGUAGAGAUGCUUGCCCCCAAGCCUGACCACCAUAGGGUGAAGAGAGAACCUACUCCUGCAAGGUGUCAGACAUUCACCAUGACACACACACACAAAAUAAAUAAAUGUAAACAAUAAUUUAAGUGUCAAGUCUUUUUAAAAGAUUGUGAAUCCAUUCAAUAUCAUAAAAGAUAAUUUGAACCACCAUAACAGUAGUAUAGCCAAGAAUUACCCAAGCCCUUUCUUGAAAUUAUGACAUUACACAGAUACUUAAUUCUUCUCUUUGGAGAAUCUCUGUGUAGCCUAGGCUGGCCUAAAACUCACAACCAUACACGACCUCAGCUCUCCGCUGUUUGGACAUCACAGGCUUGUCACCAUGUCUAGCAAAAAAACAAAAGCUCAUUUAAAGCUUCCCCGGAUAUGACGCCCCGGGCCCAGCUGAGGAUGACAAAGGAUGCCUAUUUGAGCUCCCACACAUGAACAGUUAGUCUUUCAUCUAUUUUGUUAGUGGCUCUGGUUUAAAAAUGGCCCUGCAGUGUGCGUGGGUGCUAAAGUGUUGUUAAUGCUUCCUCAGUUCAAGGCAGCUAUGGUGCACUAUGUGGAGAAGACAGGAAUGACUGUGCACUGCAAUAUUAGCGACUAGGACAGCAUAUGACUCUGUGUGUGUGUGUGUGUGUGUGUGUGUGUGUGUGUGUGUGUGUGUGUGUGUGUGUUAAAUAAGGAAAAUGGACACAUAGAACAAGUUUGUGCCUGGAUCAUUGGUAAAAGCAGGACCAGGGCUUGAGCGCAGUGCUGAACCUUAUGGGUUCCUCCUGAGGGAAUGAUCCGGCACCCACUGACACUGCUCAUAGAGGCCAUGCAGAAGGAAACUAUCACAAUGGUUGUUACACUCAACAGAAGAAAAAUACAAGAUGCAAACAUUUUAUCAGACGAGAGAAUUUCCCCACACUCGGAGAGACGGUCAGUUUCCACGUAAGAUGACCACAGGGACUGCCGGCUGCUGCCCGUCUGUGUUCACAGGCUAAGACACAAGCACAAGAGGAGGCUCAUUCUAUAACAAUAGAAAAGAAGACCAAGCAGUUGUUCCGUAUGGCACGUGUGUACCCCAAAAGUCACAAACUGUGCCAACCACUAAUUAUCAGUUAACUCAAUUACACUAAAUGAGUGUUGAAACUUAGUCCUACAGAAAUGUGCAAAUAGAUUUUGUACUGGCAAUGCCUCCUCCAAUCCUGUGGAUGUACCUGACCAAAAUACUGAGGGAUCACAGUGCAAAAGACCAGUCCGGUAGCUGGUCUCCAGAGGCAGGGAGGGGCAGACCUGGUGGCAUUCAGGACAAUGGAGCAGUGGGAGCACUGGAGGGAAACUAGGGUCUACAGCUGCUGCACGCCCAACCAGUUGUGAUGACCCAACCUGUUUCCUAGAAAUGACGAGGCUGCUGAGACACUCUCAGGACACCCUGGCCAGGAGCCCAUCCUGCUCCACAACUAUUGCUUGCUUUCUUUUUUUUUUUUUAAGAUCUUAGGCAUUUAUUUUAUGUAUACGGGUACACUGCAGCUGUCUUUAGACACACCAGAAGAGGGCAUCAGAUC